rnacentral:rRNA from 1 species
GUCGGACGGCAGCGCGGGGGCAACCCUGGCGGCGAGUGGCGAACGGGUGAGUAAUACAUCGGAACGUGUCCUGGAGUGGGGGAUAGCCCGGCGAAAGCCGGAUUAAUACCGCAUACGCUCUGUGGAGGAAAGCGGGGGAUCUUCGGACCUCGCGCUCAAGGGGGGGCCGAUGGCAGAUUAGCUAGUUGGUGGGGUAAAGGCCUACCAAGGCGACGAUCUGUAGCUGGUCUGAGAGGACGACCAGCCACACUGGGACUGAGACACGGCCCAGACUCCUACGGGAGGCAGCAGUGGGGAAUUUUGGACAAUGGGGGCAACCCUGAUCCAGCAAUGCCGCGUGUGUGAAGAAGGCCUUCGGGUUGUAAAGCACUUUUGUCCGGAAAGAAAACCGCUUCUCUAAUACAGAGGCGGGAUGACGGUACCGGAAGAAUAAGCACCGGCUAACUACGUGCCAGCAGCCGCGGUAAUACGUAGGGUGCAAGCGUUAAUCGGAAUUACUGGGCGUAAAGCGUGCGCAGGCGGUUCGCUAAGACCGAUGUGAAAUCCCCGGGCUUAACCUGGGAACUGCAUUGGUGACUGGCGGGCUAGAGUAUGGCAGA